GAGAUGGAAGAGAGCAUCAGAAAAUUAAAAGAGCAGCUUCGUGUCAACCCCAAAAAGCUGUCUUUGUACAAGCGUAAACUGACGAGUGCCUCCGACGACCGACAAUCCGCUGCCAACAUCGGUUAUGUAGCCGCUUUGAUUCUAUGUGUGAUUCCCGGGUUGGUCAUACUUCUGGAUAUGGGCAGACUAACACGAGAGUUCAAGCAGUUCAUCUCGCGCCUCAGAGACUCCGGUCAAGAUGACCUAAACACUCCUGACAAACAGAACAAAAAUCAAGCGGAAUCUCAACACUCCAGAAAAGCAUUAAUCCAAUCAAGCGGACCUGAACACUCAAGACAAAUAGAACUCCAAUCAAGCGGACCUGAACACUCAAGACAAGCAGAACUCCAGUCAAGCGAACCUGAACACUCCAGACAAAUAGAACUCCGAUCAAGCGAACCUGAACACUCCAGACAAACAGAACUCCAAUCAAGUGGACCUGAACACUCCAGAUCAGCAUUAUACCAAAAACGUCGACCUGCAAAUUCCAGACAAACAGAACUCUAAUCAAGCGGAACCUGAACACCCUAGAUCAACAGAAAGCAGAUCUGAACACUCCUGACAAACGAUCCUCCAAUGAAGCGAACGUGGUGUCAUUAGUGUCUAUUUCAUUCGUAUAAUGCAUGAUACGCCUAUGUAGUCAAUUCUUAUGACCGUGAUCAGUGUAUCUAGUCCGGCCUUGUUACAGUGAUUCGUGUAUCUAGUCCGUCCAUGUAACCGUGAUACGUGUAUCUAGUCCGUCCAUGUAACCGUGAUACGUGUAUCUAGUCCGUCCUUGUAACCGUGAUACGUGUAUCUAGUCCGUCCAUGUAACCGUGAUACGUGUAUCUAGUCCGUCCAUGUAACCGUGAUACGUGUAUCUAGUCCGUCCUUGUAACCGUGAUACGUGUAUCUAGUCCGUCCUUGUUACAGUUAUACGUGUAUCUAUUCCGUCCUUGUAACCGGGAUACGUGUAUCUAGUCCGUCCUUGUUACAGUUAUACGUGUGUAUAGUCCGUCCUUGUAACCAUGAUACGUGUAUAUAGUCCGUCCUUGUAACCGGGAUACGUUUAUCUAGUCCUUCCUUGUAACUGUGAUAUGUGUAUCUAGUCCGUCCUUGUAACCGGGAUACCUGUAUCUAGUCCAUCCUUGUAACCAUGGUACGUGUAUCUAGUCCGUCCUUGUAACCGUGAUACGUGUAUCUAGUCCGUCCUUGUAACCAUGAUACGUGUAUCUAGUCCGUCCUUGUAACCAUAAUACGUGUAUCUAGUCCGUCCUUGUAACCAUGAUACGUGUAUCUAGUCCGUCCUUGUAACCGUGAUACAUGUAUCUAGUCCAUCCUUGUAACCGUGAUACGUGUAUCUAGUCCGUCCUUGUAACCGUGAUACGUGUAUCUAGUCCGUCCUUGUAACCAUGAUACAUGUAUCUAGUCCAUCCUUGUAACCCUGAUACCUGUAUCUAGUCCGUCCUUGUAACCGUGAUACAUGCAUCUAGUCCGUCCUUGUAACCGUGAUACGUGUAUCUAGUCCGUCCUUGUAACCGUGAUACAUGUAUCUAGUCCAUCCUUGUAACCAUGUUACAUGUAUCUAGUCCGUCCUUGUAUCCAUGUUACAUGUAUCUAGUCCGUCCUUGUAACCAUGAUACAUGUAUCUAGUCCGUCCUUAAUUUUUGGAACCGUGAUACGUGUAUCUAGUCCGUCCUUGUAACCGUGAUACGUGUAUCUAGUCCGUCCUUGUAACCGUGAUACAUGUAUCUAGUCCGUCCUUGUAACCAUGAUACGUGUAUCUAGUCCGUCCUUGUAACCAUGGUACGUGUAUCUAGUCCGUCCUUGUAACCAUGGUACGUGUAUCUAGUCCGUCCUUGUAACCGUGAUACGUGUAUCUAGUCCGUCCUUGUAACCAUGAUACAUGUAUCUAGUCCAUCCUUGUAACCAUGUUACAUGUAUCUAGUCCGUCCUUGUAUCCAUGUUACAUGUAUCUAGUCCGUCCUUGUAUCCAUGUUACAUGUAUCUAGUCCGUCCUUGUAACCGUGAUACGUGUAUCUAGUCCGUCCUUGUAACCGUGAUACGUGUAUCUAGUCCGUCCUUGUUACGGUGAUACGUGUAUAUAGUCCGUCCUUUUAACCGUGAUACGUGUAUCUAGUCCGUCCUUGUAACCAUGAUACAUGUAUCUAGUCCGUCCUUGUAACCAUGAUACGUGUAUCUAGUUCGUUCUUGUAACCAUGAUACGUGUAUCUAGUCCGUCCUUGUAACCAUGAUACGUGUAUCUAGUCCGUCCUUGUAACCGGGAUACCUGUAUCUUGUCCGUCCUUGUAACCGUGAUACGUGUAUCUAGUCCGUCCUUGUAACCAUGAUACCUGUAUCUAGUCCGUCCUUGUAACCGUGCCACGUGUAUCUAGUCCGUCCGUGUAACCGUGAUACAUGUAUCUAGUCCGUCCUUGUAACCGUGAUACAUGUAUCUAGUCCGUCCUUGUAACCGUGAUACGUGUAUCUAGUCCGUCCGUGUAACCGUGAUACGUGUAUCUAGUCCGUCCUUGUAUCCAUGAUACGUGUAUCUAGUCCGUCCUUGUUACAGUUAUACGUGUAUCUAGUCCGUCCUUGUAACCGUGAUACGUGUAUCUAGUCCGUCCUUGUAACCAUGAUACGUGUAUCUAGUCCGUCCUUGUUACAGUUAUAUGUGUAUCUAGUCCGUCCUUGUAACCGUGAUACGUAUAUCUAGUCCGUCCUUGUUACAGUUAUACGUGUAUCUAGUCCGUCCUUGUAACCAUGAUACGUGUAUAUAGUCCGUCCUUGUAACCGUGAUACGUGUAUCUAGUCCGUCCUUGUUACAGUUAUACGUGUAUCUAGUCCGUCCUUGUAACCAUGGUACUUGUAUCUAGUCCGUCCUUGUUACAGUUAUACGUGUAUCUAGUCCGUCCUUGUAACCAUGAUACGUGUAUCCAGUCCGUCCGUGUAACCGUGAUACGUGUAUCUAGUCCGUCCUUGUAACUGUGAUACGUAUAUCUAGACCGUCCUUGUAACCGUGAUAAAAUGUGUAUGUGUAUCUAGUCCGUCCUUGUAACCGUGAUACAUGUAUCUAGUCCGUCCUUGUAACCGUGAUACGCGUAUUUAGUCCAUCCUUGUUACCAUGAUACGUGCAUCUAGUCUAAAACUGUUAUUUCAAUUAAUAUAUAUAGUCCAUCAUUUUGAUUUCACUGCAUGCAUCUAUUACAUCAGUAUUUAAUUUUUUAAUGCUCUGUAUAAUCCAAUAUUUUUAAUGUGACACGUGUAUUUAUAUAUAAUGUUCUUUUUAUACAUGUAUCUAAUCGAUACGUGUAAGUGUGGCACGUGUUUAUAACCUAUCAUUGUUAAUUUAUGACUUUGCUUUUGAAAAUAUUUAGAAAUCGAUUGUUUAAUGUUGUGUGUUUAUGCACGAGUUAACUCCCUUGGAUAGUGUUUUUAUUUAGAAAUCGAUUGUAUAUUGUUGUUUGUUUAUGUAAGAGUUAACUCCCUUGGUUGGUGAUUGACUGUAUUUUAGAUUUUUGUAUUUUUACAUGAUUUGAAAAUGAUUUCUUUACAACUAUGUUAUAAAUGUGUCUUCUACAUGUGUGUAAGAUAGGACCAACCGUUUAACGGGUAGAAAAUAAAUCCAUUCCCAGGAGAUGGUUUACCCAAUAACCCGCAGUAUCUUAUCUACAUUUUUUUUUUUUAUAAAUAUAACAUAUAAAAGCACAUACAAAAUGUUAAUUGAUUCAUUAAAUUCAAUAACAUUCCCCUAUUGACUAAGGCUCUGAAACGUGAAACCAUCUUUGAUAAACUGUAAGGCAAAAGCCAUGGAAUUCCAGCGCGAGCUAUCAUUAUCCUUACGAGCGCGUUCAUCCUGUCUUACAAGCUUUGUUGUGACUAUAACUUUCUAUAUUCUUCUUUCGUGAAAUCAAUAAUGUCUUGUACAUUUUGCAUUAUUAUGAUAUUUCUAUGUUUUUACCAAUUCUGUUUAGGUUUUAUAUACGAUAUUAUGAUGUUAUUAGGCAUGACGUGUUUGAUUGUGUGUCCCAUGAAGCUGAGUCCAUCGUCAAUAAUCUUCCUGUCUAACUCUGUCGUUCUGUCUUUCGUCUAACUCUGUCGUUCUGUCUUUCGUCUAUCUCUGUCGUUCUGUCCUUCGUCUAACUCUGUCGUUCUGUAUUUCCUCUAAAUCUGUCGUUCUGUAUUUCGUCUAUGUCGUUCUGUCUUUCGUCUACCUCUUUCGUUAUGUCUUUCGUCUACCUCUUUCGUUAUGUCUUUCGUCUAACUCUGUCGUUCUGUCUUUCGUCUAACUCUGUCGUUCUGUCUUUCCUCUAACUCUGUCGUUCUGUAUUUCGUCUAACUCUGUCGUUCUAUCUUUCGUCUAACUCUUUCGUUAUGUCUUUCGUCUAACUCUGUCGUUCUGUCUUUCGUCUAUCUCUGUCGUUCUGACUUUCGUCUAACUAUGUCGUUCUGUCUUUCGUCUAACUCUGUCGUUCUGUCCUUCGUAUAACUCUGUCGUUCGUCUAUCAUUGUCGUUCUGUCUUUCGUCUAUCUGUGUCGUUCUGUCCUUCGUCUGACUCUGUCUUCUUUCCUUCGUCAUCGUGAUUUUCUCGUUCCGUUUGUAAAUUUUUUGAACGCUAUUGAACUGUAUCAUUCACUUCAUAAUACGCAGUUACAUUGAAUAAUCAAUUCACUGAUAGUGUCAUUUCACAGUCAUGGUUUAUUGAUAGAACUCCUAAGCGCCGUGACAGUUGUGCACUGUUGGUUUACAAGCAUUAGUCUUAUUCGAGCAGUUGAGCGAUACAGGUGCAAUGGAUCUUUUUUAUCUUAACAUUUUUUAUACAUUAUAAUGCUAUUUAUAUCUACUGUGUCAUGGUUAAUAUUGUUGAUAUAUACAUGUACUAAUGAAUCCAAAGGCUUUGUUUAGUUUGCCGACAACAAAAAAAAAACCCAAAAAAACAUGCAACAGAUAACACCGUGGACGAAAUACCAAGGUACAAAAGUCAUUUGGCAACUAUAACCUGCGAAAAGAAAACUGUAAGGUGCAACCAGUACUACACUCGGACCAGGAUAAGCCAAACAGUUAUAGACUUUCGGAGUGGCGAAUUUCUGUAUGGGAAUUCUUUAAAGUUCAUUGGACGUCAAAGAUUUUUGUUUGAUUAGUUAAAUCAUACUAACAGUUAGUAUUAAAACUAUCAAGUGAGUCGAGGUCACACUUAAUAUAUUCCCUGUGACCGAACUAAAGAAAAAACCUAGUUGGCCCUGACGGACGCGAGCGAGGGGUCUUACAGUAGGAGAAACCGGAGUUCCCGGCAAAAACUCAUGUGGUCAAGCACGUAACCCCCAAACCAUUUCACUUCCGACGUCGAAUCGAACUCCGGCCGCCUAGGUGAAAGGCAAUUGUGUUACCUCUGUGCAACCAGACCACCUAAAUAUUCAACUGUCUAUUGUGCAAUAUGGCGUUUGUCUGCAAAUCUCUAGACUUCAAAUCGACUAUAGAUAUCAUAUCAAGAGAGUUUAAAGCACUAACUGUGGAUCAAUAACUGAUGUCUAAGAGCAUGUAACGGGAACUCCGAUUGGUCGAGAAAUCUGUAAAGAAUUAUUACAGUUUACAUUUGUUAAUUUCAUUUAUUUAUCAAUGUGUAAUUUAAUUACGAGAAUCCAAUGCCGAUUUUCAUGUUCUUCUUCAUUUUUCUAAUUGAGACAUUUUUGAAAUUGUGAUGAAUUUUGCUUGUUAUAUAUAUACAGCCUCUUGUUCAUUUUCAAUAAACGUUUUUGAAAAUCUA